GACGAACGCUGGCGGCGUGCUUAACACAUGCAAGUCGAACGGAAAGGCCUGUCCUUCCUUGUGUUGGACGGGUACUCGAGUGGCGAACGGGUGAGUAACACGUGAGUGAUCUGCCCCCAACUUGUGUAUAAGCCUGGGAAACUGGGUCUAAUUCCCGAUAGGACUGCAGGGUGGUGCCUGUGGUGGAAAACGAUUUUCUAGUGGUUGGGGAUGAGCUCGCGGCCUAUCAGCUUGUUGGUGGGGUAAUGGCCUACCAAGGCGGCGACGGGUAGCCGGCCUGAGAGGGUGGACGGCCACAUUGGGACUGAGAUACGGCCCAGACUCCUACGGGAGGCAGCAGUGGGGAAUAUUGCACAAUGGGCGGAAGCCUGAUGCAGCGACGCCGCGUGGGGGAUGACGGCCUUCGGGUUGUAAACUCCUUUCGACCGCGAGGAAGCCGCCUGGUUGGAAGGGUGGUGACGGUAGUGGUAGAAGAAGCACCGGCUAACUACGUG
rnacentral:rRNA from 1 species